rnacentral:rRNA from 1 species
AACGAACGCUGGCGGCAGGCCUAACACAUGCAAGUCGAGCGAGGACUUCGGUCCUAGCGGCGGACGGGUGAGUAACGCGUGGGAACGUGCCCUUUGCUUCGGAAUAGCCCUGGGAAACUGGGAGUAAUACCGGAUGAGCCCUUUGGGGGAAAGAUUUAUCGGCGAAGGAUCGGCCCGCGUUGGAUUAGGUAGUUGGUGGGGUAAUGGCCUACCAAGCCGACGAUCCAUAGCUGGUUUGAGAGGAUGAUCAGCCACACUGGGACUGAGACACGGCCCAGACUCCUACGGGAGGCAGCAGUGGGGAAUCUUAGAAAAUGGGGGAAACCCUGAUCGAGCCAUGCCGCGUGAACGAUGAAGGCCUUAGGGUUGUAAAGCUCUUUCCACUGGGAAGAUAAUGACGGUACCAGCAGAAGAAGCCCCGGCUAACUCCGUG